GGUUUCUUGAUGAGAUUAGUUUCUGACCAAGUAGCUGAAUUUCGUUAGCAACAUAUCGUUUUGUAAGCUUUGCGCAUGAAACCUUGUUAUCUGAAUAUUU
rnacentral:snoRNA from 1 species